rnacentral:rRNA from 1 species
AAACUUUCAACAAUGGAUCUCUUGGCUCUCGCAUCGAUGAAGAACGCAGCGAAAUGCGAUAAGUAAUAUGAAUUGCAGAAUUCCGUGAAUCAUCAAAUUUUUGAACGCAAAUUGCACUUCUUGGCAUUCCGAGGAGUACACAUGCUUGAGGGUCAGUU